rnacentral:rRNA from 1 species
CCUACGGGGGGCAGCAGUGGGGAAUAUUGCACAAUGGGGGAAACCCUGAUGCAGCGACGCCGCGUGAGCGAUGAAGUAUUUCGGUAUGUAAAGCUCUAUCAGCAGGGAAGAAAAUGACGGUACCUGACUAAGAAGCCCCGGGUAAAUACGUGCCAGCAGCCGCGGGAAUACGGAGGGGGCAAGCGUUAUCCGGAUUUACUGGGUGUAAAGGGAGCGUAGACGGCUGUGCAAGCCAGGUGUGAAAGCCCGGGGGUCAACCCCGGGACUGCAUUGGGAACUGUGUGGCUGGAGUGUCGGAGAGGCAAGCGGAAUUCCUAGUGUAGCGGUGAAAUGCGUAGAUAUUAGGAAGAACACCAGAGGCGAAGGCAGCCUGCUGGACGAUGACUGACGUUGAGGCUCGAAAGCGUGGGGAGCAAACAGGAUUAGAUACCCGGGUAGUC